rnacentral:tRNA from 1 species
GCCCCGAUAGCUCAGUUGGUUAGAGCAUUCGGCUUUUAACCGAAAUGUCGUGGGUUCGAUCCCCACUCGGGGCG